GCGAAAGAGUUCACAUAGCAUCGAGCAACUGAGUCCUUUGACAGAAUAUGGAACGCGGAAUUUUGCAAUGUAAAAUUCUAAUUCGCGAAAUUGGCCACUUUGUCUCUUCUGGAAAGUGUAAUAUUCGUUCUACGCUUGAAAAAUACCUCAGUAUACAUUAUGUUUUGGGUUGCAAGGUCUAGGAGCAAAGGAACUAAUAAACAGAUUUCUAUUUAUGUUCCCUGUAGUCUCUAGCCCAAGCUACAAGCUUAACUUUUUUGGUAAUGUCCUUUUGCUAUAAAUAUAUGAACGUGCUCCCUAUCAUUCCAUUGUCUAGUAA
rnacentral:misc_RNA from 1 species